rnacentral:snRNA from 1 species
GUGCUUGCUUUGGUCACACAUAUAUUAAAAUUGGAGUACAGAGAUCAGCAUGGCUUUAGUACAAGAAUGAUACAGAAACUCAUGAAGCAUUUCAUGUUAAA